rnacentral:rRNA from 1 species
UGGGGAAUAUUGGACAAUGGGCGCAAGCCUGAUCCAGCCAUGCCGCGUGAGUGAUGAAGGCCCUAGGGUUGUAAAGCUCUUUCACCGGUGAAGAUAAUGACGGCAACCGGAGAAGAAGCCCCGGCUAACUUCGUGCCAGCAGCCGCGGUAAUACGAAGGGGGCUAGCGUUGUUCGGAUUUACUGGGCGUAAAGCGCACGUAGGCGGACUUUUAAGUCAGGGGUGAAAUCCCGGGGCUCAACCCCGGAACUGCCUUUGAUACUGGAAGUCUUGAGUAUGGUAGAGGUGAGUGGAAUUCCGAGUGUAGAGGUGAAAUUCGUAGAUAUUCGGAGGAACACCAGUGGCGAAGGCGGCUCACUGGACCAUUACUGACGCUGAGGUGCGAAAGCGUGGGGAGCAAACAGG